rnacentral:tRNA from 1 species
AGCAGCGUGGCUCAAUGGAAGGAGCACUGACUUGGGAGUCAGAGGUCAUGAGUUCAAAUCCCAACUCAGCCG